AUUGAACGCUGGCGGAAUGCUUUACACAUGCAAGUCGAACGGUAGAGGGGCAACCCUCGAGAGUGGCGAACGGGUGAGUAAUAUAUCGGAACGUGCCCAGUCGUGGGGGAUAACGUAGCGAAAGUUACGCUAAUACCGCAUACGCCCUGAGGGGGAAAGCGGGGGACCGUAAGGCCUCGCGCGAUUAGAGCGGCCGAUAUCUGAUUAGCUUGUUGGUGGGGUAAAAGCCCACCAAGGCGACGAUCAGUAGCUGGUCUGAGAGGACGAUCAGCCACACUGGGACUGAGACACGGUCCAGACUCCUACGGGAGGCAGCAGUGGGGAAUUUUCCGCAAUGGGCGAAAGCCUGACGGAGCAAUACCGCGUGAGGGAAGAAUGCCUAUGGGUUGUAAACCUCUUUUUCAGGGAGGAACAAAAUGACGUGUACCUGAAGAAUAAGCAUCGGCUAACUCCGUG
rnacentral:rRNA from 1 species